rnacentral:rRNA from 1 species
GAUGAACGCUGACAGAAUGCUUAACACAUGCAAGUCUACUUGAACUUCGGUUUGGGUGGCGGACGGGUGAGUAACGCGUAAAGAACUUGCCUCACAGUUAGGGACAACAUUUGGAAACGAAUGCUAAUACCUGAUAUUAUGAUUUUAGGGCAUCCUAAGAUUAUGAAAGCUAUAUGCACUGUGAGAGAGCUUUGCGUCCCAUUAGCUAGUUGGAGAGGUAACGGCUCACCAAGGCGAUGAUGGGUAGCCGGCCUGAGAGGGUGAACGGCCACAAGGGGACUGAGACACGGCCCUUACUCCUACGGGAGGCAGCAGUGGGGAAUAUUGGACAAUGGACCAAAAGUCUGAUACAGCAAUUCUGUGUGCACGAUGACGUUUUUCGGAAUGUAAAGUGCUUUCAGUUGGGAAGAAAAAAAUGACGGUACCAACAGAAGAAGUGACGGCUAAAUACGUG